GGGUGUGAUCAUACCAACAUUAAUGCACCGGAUCCCAUCAGAACUCCGCAGUUAAGCGUGCUUGGGCUAAAGUAGUAUUGGGAUGGGUGACCUCCUAGGAAGUCCUAGUGUUGCACCCU
rnacentral:rRNA from 1 species